CACCGAAUAAGUAAGUAUUGUUCAGUCAACAAGAGAGUAUAUAAAGGCGUCUGUGAACUUAAUUCAAGCAUAACACAAUCUUUUGUGCAGAUAUACUCUUUGUUUUCACUUAAAUCCACAAAACCAACCAAAAAUCAAAAAUGGGCGCUGAAAAAGUAACCAUGAACAUCGUCGUCGUUGGACAAGUCCAAUCUGCCAAGGCCAUCAAAUCGGUCGCCAAAGCCACGCCAGCCACCAGCCAAUUGAUGAACUGUUAAUUCAUGUAGUCAAUACCUUCCAAAACUCAAAAAUGCCAUAGCCCAGACAGUACAAUAAUAUGUAAUUCAUAUAAUAAGUAUUGACACCGCAAAAUAAACCAGUAAUUUCCGAUAAACUUGA